GUGCCAGCAGCCGCGGUAAUACGAGGGGUGCUAGCGUUGUCCGGAAUCACUGGGCGUAAAGGGCGCGUAGGCGUCUUGGCAAGCCUUGAUUGAAAUCCCCCGGCUCAACCGGGGAACUGGUCAGGGAACUGCCAAGAUAGAGUUUGGUAGGGGAGAGUGGAAUUCCUGGUGUAGCGGUGAUAUGCGUAGAUAUCAGGAGGAACACCGAAAGCGAAGGCAGCUCUCUGGGCCAAUACUGACGCUGAGGCGCGAAAGCGUGGGGAGCAAACAGGAUUAGAUACCCUGGUAGUCCACGCCGUAAACGAUGAGCACUUGGUGUCGGGGGAUUCGACCCCCUCGGUGCCGUAGCUAACGUGUUAAGUGCUCCGCCUGGGGACUACGACCGCAAGGUUGAAACUCAAAGGAAUUGACGGGGGCCCGCACAAGCGGUGGAACAUGUGGUUUAAUUCGAUGCAACGCGAAGAACCUUACCUGGGCUUGACAUGUCAGUGAAAGUCCCGUGAAAGCGGGACCCUCUGCGAGCUUGCUCAAUGACCCUGUCACAGGUGGUGCAUGGCUUUCCUCAGCUCGUGUCGUGAAAUGUUGGGUUAAGUCCCGCAACGAGCGCAACCCUUGUCCUUAAUUGCC
rnacentral:rRNA from 1 species